CAUUCAUGCUGGAGCAUGGUAUUUUUGGUGCUGGUGUUUUAUUUUAUCUAUUUUUGCUCAAAAGCUUCUUUGGAAAAAGAAUUGAAAAAGAAAAUAAAAAGAAAAAAGGAAGAACACCCCCUGUGCGCAGCCCAAAGCUCCCCCGAGGCCCAGCUCCCCUCUUUUCUUCCCCGGCCCACUUCCUUCUCGGCCUAGACGCGCGCGCACUCCCUCCCCUCCCUCCUUUAUGCUACUGACAGCCGAGCCCCACCCCUUCUCACGCUGCCACGCAAGACCCACCGAGGCGGCGUCUUCCCCUUCCCCUUCCAUGUUCGUAACCGAGCAGGAUACCUCCUUCCGAACCUCAUCCUAGGAAGCCACGAUUUCUUGCCAUAUCGAGCCCUAUAAAGCUCCUAGUGAUGCCCGCGUCUCGGUUUUCCCAUCUACGUCACAAAACCGAGGCCUAACCGCCCCAAACCUUGAGCUUUUGGAUCUCACCAUGGCCGCACCCGAUCUCCACCACGGCGAGCACUCCCUCCUUCUUCUCAGCGC
rnacentral:lncRNA from 1 species